rnacentral:rRNA from 1 species
GACGAACGCUGGCGGCGUGCUUAACACAUGCAAGUCGAACGGAAAGGCCCUGCUUUUGUGGGGUGCUCGAGUGGCGAACGGGUGAGUAACACGUGAGUAACCUGCCCUUGACUUUGGGAUAACUUCAGGAAACUGGGGCUAAUACCGGAUAGGAGCUCCUGCUGCAUGGUGGGGGUUGGAAAGUUUCGGCGGUUGGGGAUGGACUCGCGGCUUAUCAGCUUGUUGGUGGGGUAGUGGCUUACCAAGGCUUUGACGGGUAGCCGGCCUGAGAGGGUGACCGGCCACAUUGGGACUGAGAUACGGCCCAGACCCCUUCGGGAGGCAGCAGUGGGGAAUAUUGCACAAUGGGCGGAAGCCUGAUGCAGCAACGCCGCGUGCGGGAUGACGGCCUUCGGGUUGUAAACCGCUUUCGCCUGUGACGAAGCGUGAGUGACGGUAAUGGGUAAAGAAGCACCGGCUAACUACGUG